GUGACCUCCUUCCUCAACGUCGCGUUCGACCUUUAUUCCAGUCGACGCCGAUCGCGUCGCGAACCCAGUCGCAGACGAGCUGCUUCUAACCCUAGCUUUGAUCCUCCUCGCCAUGGACACGCAUCAGGCUCUGCCGGAUACCGAUCGCCAGGCGGCUCCGCCUCUGAGGACCCAGCCCUCUCCCCCCCGCUUCAUCACCUACGCUUCCGCGGGCUCCCAACGCCGGAUCGCUAUCGCCGUCGACCUCAGCGACGAGAGCGCCUACGCCGUGAGGUGGGCUGUCCAGAACUACCUCCGCCCUGGCGACGCCGUUAUCCUCCUCCACGUCCGCCCCACCAGCGUCCUCUACGGCGCUGACUGGGGAGCCGUUGAUCUCACCGUCUCCGUCGCCGCCGACGAUGACGACGCCGCGAACGGGCGUCCCGACUCGCACGAGUCGCAGCGGAAGAUGGAGGAGGACUUCGACGCCUUCACCACGACCAAGGCGCAGGACCUGGCGCAGCCCCUCGUGGAGGCGCAGAUCCCCUUCAAGAUACACAUCGUCAAGGACCACGACAUGAAGGAGCGACUGUGUCUGGAGGUGGAGAGGCUCGGCCCUAGCGCGGUUAUCAUGGGUAGCAGGGGAUUUGGAGCCGCCAGGAGCAUCAGCAAGAGCCGGCUCGGGAGCGUCAGCGAUUAUUGCGUGCAUCACUGCGUUUGCCCCGUUGUGGUGGUUCGUUACCCCGAUGAUGGGGCGGCUGCAGGACCUGCAACUGAUAAUGGAGAGGGCCCAAAGUCAGACGAGGUGGUGGAGAAACACGUGGUGCCGGAGGACGAACAAGAGUUCCACGAUGCUGCUGAGGAACAUAAAGAUGUCUGAGAAAUGCAUAGUAAUGGCAUAUCCAUCCUGUGAUUUAGUGGGCUUUCCAACCUCAACUAGAGAGAAUCCUUGCCUAUAUUUUCUCAAGAUAAAUCAUCAUCCUAUAUUAGCUGAUAUUUUGUAGUUUUGGCUUGAGAAGAAAAAGACCUUGAUCCUUAUGCUAACCUUUGUUUCAUGGAUUCCUGUCUGUUUAUGGAUGGACACGAGGAGUGAUAAGGAACACAAGCCAUGGCGGAAAGCCAACUCAUGUGUUUCUUCUGUUGCAGUGGUUGCUUCUGUUAUAUAGAAUUCCAGCGCGGUGGAUGGACUCGUGAUUGCCGGCAAAUCAAAUCCUACAUAUGCUGCCACGCUCGGCGGCCAGAAGUCAAGAGCACGGACCCUUCAAUUACCACAUCAUUAUCGCAGAAACACGAACAUGAAAUAGGCAGAAACGUUGAAGCAAUCGAAGAGAAUUCAGCAAUGCAUACACAAUGCCAA